rnacentral:tRNA from 1 species
GCCCUCGUAGCUCAGGGGAUAGAGCGUCUGCCUCCGGAGCAGAAGGCCGCAGGUUCGAUUCCUGCCGAGGGCACCA